AAAAACUUCAAUGUGUUUGGCAAGUCAAACUACUCUCCAAGUCCCUAUAUAGAUAACUCUGAAAAGCUUUACUAGAUUUUCUUAAUUGCAGUUUGUUAGAUGUGUGUAGUUGAAAACUGGGGAAGUGAGGAAUUUUGUUGAAAACUGUGAUAUCAAAGCUAUAAUAAUAGAAAGAAGUAUUUAUUUUAUGGCAAGUGUAGAUCUUGAUGGUGGGGAUCUUUGCAUUAGAGGAAGG
rnacentral:misc_RNA from 1 species